UGCCAGAGUCGUCUGCGCGAAAAUGGCGGAAUACUUGGCCUCCAUCUUCGGCACCGAAAAAGACAAAGUCAACUGUUCAUUUUAUUUCAAAAUCGGAGCAUGUCGUCAUGGAGACGGUUGCACAAUAAACCGACCUUUAGCCAGACCAUUGCCCUCUUGAACAUUUACCGUAACCCUCAAAACUCUUCCCAGUCCGCUGACGGUUUGCGCUGUGCUGUGAGCGACGUGGAGAUGCAGGAGCACUAUGAUGAGUUCUUUGAGGAAGUCUUCACUGAGAUGGAAGAGAAGUACGGGGAAGUCGAGGAGAUGAACGUCUGCGACAACCUAGGGGACCACCUGGUGGGGAACGUGUAUGUCAAGUUUCGACGUGAGGAGGAUGCAGAGAAAGCCAUGAUCGACUUGAAUAACCGUUGGUUUAAUGGACAGCCGAUCCAUGCAGAGCUGUCCCCAGUAACUGACUUCAGGGAAGCCUGCUGCCGCCAGUAUGAAAUGGGAGAGUGCACAAGAGGGGGCUUCUGCAACUUCAUGCAUUUGAAGCCCAUCUCAAGAGAGCUACGACGGGAGCUGUAUGGGCGCCGGCGCAAGAAGCAUAGAUCCAGGUCCCGAUCCAGGGAAUGGCGUUCCCGAGCCAGAGACCGUGGGCGCGGUGGUAGAGGUAGAGGUGGAGGUGGAGGUGGCAGAGGACGGGAGCGUGACAGGAGGCAAUCAAGAGACUGGGAGAGAUCUGGACGAUUCUGAGCCGAGCCCUUUUUACCGUGUGUCUGCUAGACAGUGUUGUAGUUGGUUGACAAGCCAAUUCAUAAUGGGAUUUAAAAAAAAACAAAGAUGGUUUCUGAAUAAACUUUGUAGUGAU